UACGUAGGGCGCAAGCGUUAUCCGGAAUUAUUGGGCGUAAAGAGCUCGUAGGCGGUUUGUCGCGUCUGCCGUGAAAGUCCGGGGCUCAACUCCGGAUCUGCGGUGGGUACGGGCAGACUAGAGUGAUGUAGGGGAGACUGGAAUUCCUGGUGUAGCGGUGAAAUGCGCAGAUAUCAGGAGGAACACCGGUGGCGAAGGCGGCCCACUGGGCAGUCACUGACGCUGAGGCGCGAAAGCUCGGGGAGCGAACGGG
rnacentral:rRNA from 1 species